AAUACAAUUUAAGGGUGGGUAUUUGGAUUCAGCAGCUGAGCAGUAUACAGAGCACCGAUGGGAGAUCUUUCAUAUAAUACUCUUUUCUGUGACAUCAAAGAGGUCCUCAUCAUCAGAUUCAUGGCUAUUUUGGCAAGCAAUUGUUGAUGAGGACCAAUAUACUGUCGAAUUGCAGUUUGUAGAAUCUGCUUGUUCACCUCAUCAUUCUGCUGCUGACUAUUUUCCAUGCUGAUCUUCACUGACAAUCUCCUGUAUUAUUAUGAUGGAGAAAGAAGCUCACAAAAACAUGUUCUUUUUGAACUGACUCUGGACUCAGUUCAAAAAGAACACAUUUUUGUGAGCUUCUUUCUAACCAAUAUUAGUUAACUACCUCCACUAUGAAUGCUAUUCUACACUAUUCUACACUAUUCUACGCUGUCACACACCAUUGAAGUUAAAUACUGCUUAUUCAUAUGAUCUUGGUGAAACAUGCGAGUACAGCUGCUCAAUCCACCAAACAUCUGGCCUUUUUCAUCUGUACUUUGCAAAAAGAAGCUGUAAUAUUAGUACAGCCGCUCUGCCCACCGAACAGUUGUCAUAUUGAGCCGUACUUUUUAAAAAAAGUGGAGAUCCGUACAAAAAGAACGAGUACACACAGACGCACCGAAC
rnacentral:sRNA from 1 species